CCUACGUGAGGCAGCAGUCGAGAAUCAUUCACAAUGGGGGAAACCCUGAUGGUGCGACGCCGCGUGGGGGAAUGAAGGUCUUCGGAUUGUAAACCCCUGUCAUGUGGGAGCAAAUUAAAAAGAUAGUACCACAAUAGGAAGAGACGGCUAACUCUGUGCAAGCAGCCGCGGUAAUACAGAGGUCUCAAGCGUUGUUCGGAAUCACUGGGUGUAAAGCGUGCGUAGGCUGUUUCGUAAGUCGUGUGUGAAAGGCGCGGGCUGAACCUGCGGACGGCACAUGAUACUGUGGGACGAGAGUGCUGUAGGGGGAAGCGGAAUUCUCGGUGUAGCGGUGAAAUGCGUAGAUAUCGGGAGGAACACUCGUGGCGAAGGCAGGUUCCUGGACAUUAACUGACGCUGAGGCACGAAGGCCAGGGGAGCGAAAGGGAUUAGAUACCCUAGUAGUC
rnacentral:rRNA from 1 species